GAUGAACGCUAGCUACAGGCUUAACACAUGCAAGUCGCACGAAGGUUUCGGCCUUAGUGGCGGACGGGUGAGUAACGCGUAGGAAUCUAUCCAUGGGUGGGGGAUAACACUGGGAAACUGGUGCUAAUACCGCAUGAUACCUGAGGGUCAAAGGCGCAAGUCGCCUGUGGAGGAGCCUGCGUUCGAUUAGCUAGUUGGUGGGGUAAAGGCCUACCAAGGCGAUGAUCGAUAGCUGGUUUGAGAGGAUGAUCAGCCACACUGGGACUGAGACACGGCCCAGACUCCUACGGGAGGCAGCAGUGGGGAAUAUUGGACAAUGGGGGCAACCCUGAUCCAGCAAUGCCGCGUGUGUGAAGAAGGUCUUCGGAUUGUAAAGCACUUUCGACGGGGACGAUGAUGACGGUACCCGUAGAAGAAGCCCCGGCUAACUUCGUGCCAGCAGCCGCCGUAA
rnacentral:rRNA from 1 species